CAUUAGUGUCUCUUUAUUUUGUGUUGCAAAUAUAGAAGUAUACACUUGUCCAGCUUUAAAUUGCAUAGAAGCAGGCGUGCCAUCUACUUGUGUACAGUAGUCACCCAGAAAGGUACGUUGAUGAGAAGUGCUGCCAUGGUCAGAGGUAAUGACAAAUUAAAACUAGUUCAAUUAAAUGAAGAAGUCAUGAGAUGGGAAGAUGUUAGUGAUGUCAUGCCUAAGAUGUCAUUUCCAUCAACCUGGAAAGGGCAGGAAUGUGGAGGAGAGAUGAGGAGAAAGCAUGGCUGCUGAAGGCUCUGGGGAGUGUGGUCUGUGGCUGACACAGCAAUGGAGCUGCAACUCCUAGCAGUAAUGUUUUCUUCUUUCAGGUGAGUAGGGGGCGGGUAUUGGAGGUGGAAUAAGUUACACUUGCAAAAGCCUGUAACUAUUUCAUUAGACUUGCAAAGCUUCCUCAGUACAUACCUGCCCUCUGGCAAAUCAGUGCGGAACUUGCUGUAGGAAGAGGGUUGGUAUGAGGGGGAGACCUUAAAUCUGUGCAGUUAAAAGUUCUAUUUCUUUAAAGGGCAAAUGAAGAUAUGAAACAUGUAAGUUGGGGAGAGAAAAGGCAACAAAUCAGAAGCAAGAAUAUCAAUGAAUGUGAAAAUAAAGCAGAGAAAAAUUGAAGUUUGCAGGAUUAUUUCAUCUUUUGUUAGUCAGUUCCCUCUUUAAAAUGUAGGUAUGAGGUUGUAUGAAGCCACAUAAAUGCUGAGCCCAGAAAAAAACCAAAACAAAUAUAUACACAGAAUCUAAAAUCAAGUUGGUAACAUGUUAAAAGGCAGACACCCAUCAGGAAGAGCAAUUGAUGAUAAUCCUAUAAAUGGCUGGUUCUGCAGUGGGCAAGUGUUGGAAGACUUUUCACAUGGAGUAUAGAUAAUCCCAGAUAUCCCGCUCAUGUCAUUCUGGUAGGAAACAAAAUCAGGUUUCAGCUUUCAGUUGCCAAAAAUAAUCUAAUUUUGACGCUAUGGGUUCAACUCAUUGAUUAUGCACUGAAAGUGUCUCUUUAAAACACAGCUUCAAGUCAUAUUUUGAAAUAGUAGCAAUUGAGCACCGUGAAAUCUGUGAUUAUAUGAACAGCAAGUUCCAGUCUCCGAACUCAGGGUUGUAGAAUACGUCAUUACAAUUGUUAUUUUUAAGUAAUACGGUUUGGGCAGCAUGGAGCAUUCAGCAUCACAAUAUUAGCAUGAUUUCCUCCAGGAUAUUAAUUAAAAUUUCAUUAUCUAUCUGUGAGGGUUUUUAAAAAGCAGCCAAGAGAUCAGAUAUGCACAGAAUAAGGUCAAAGAUUCAUGGCAACUGCACUGACAGAAGAUCAUUUACCUUUAGUUUUGUUUGUGGGAGUUGUUAGUUAUAAAAAAUCUAGGUUGCUAAUGCAGAUCCUUUAAAAUUCCCAUCUCUUUUUUUCU
rnacentral:lncRNA from 1 species